UAGUCCAUGCAGUAAACGAUGAGUGCUAAAAGUCAGAAAUUUAUUUCUGGUUUUACAGCUAACGCAUUAAGCACUCCGCCUGGGGAGUACGAUCGCAAGAUUGAAACUUAAAGGAAUUGACGGGGGCCCGCACAAGCGGUGGAGCAUGCGGUUUAAUUCGAUGCUACGCGAAAAACCUUACCAACCCUUGACAUGUAAAUUUUAGAUAAUGGAGACAUAAUCUUUCAGUUUGGCUGGGUUUACACAGGUGUUGCAUGGCUGUCGUCAGUUCGUGUUGUGAGAUGUUCGGUUAAGUCCGUUAACGAACGCAACCCCCUUUGCUAGUUGCUAGCGCGUUAUGGCGAGGACUCUAGCGAGACUGCUCUUGAUAAGAGAGAGGAAGGCGGGGACGAGGUCAAGUCAUCAUGGCCCUUAUGGGUUGGGCUACACGCGUGCUACAAUGGUGCUUACAAAGGGCAGCAAAUCAGUAAUGGUAAGCUAAUCCUUUAAAAAGCAAUCUCAGUUCAGAUU
rnacentral:rRNA from 1 species